CUGCCUCCCCCUCCCCGCCCGACCCGCGGGUGCCCGAGAUCUGACUCACCGUCCCCCUCCGGGCUUAGCCGGCGGAGGUGGGGCGGGUGCCGCCGAGGUAGCCACGCAGCCCCUGUGCGCCUCCGGCCCGGCCCAGCGACCUCCUCUCGGGCCUGCCGUUACCCGGUCCCCUCCUGCCACCACCCGCUACCCGGCCACCCCGAGUCCGCCUGGGGUGGCCGAACGUAUGGAGCUGGGCUCCAGGGUGCACGGGGAUGGGGGGUGAGGAGCGGGGCGUUCUCCCUCCCAGCACCCCCCAGCUGACUCUGUGCCCGGAGGGGGUGUGUGAGCCGGAACCUCCAGCAUUCUUGGGGAUACGAACUUCCAACGCUGGGCAGCCUCUUAAGGCUUCUAGGAAUUCGCAUCCCCAGCGCCCCAGCCAGCAGAUCGGUUGCGAGAGGGACCGUUCGGGUCCGCGGGGCCGGGAAUGGAGGUGGGAGGGCGGGGCCGAGGCGGCGGCCGCCUGCGGACUGGAGACCCGGGAGGACGGACGCGGACGCGGGCUGCUCGUCUUUUACGGCCCUUCAACGCCCACCACGACCCACUCCUCUUGGAGACCCCGGGCGACGGUGGGGCUCUUGGGCAUUCUGAGACUGCGCUUGGUGGAGACCCCGGGCGACGGUGGAGCUCUUGGGCAUUCUGAGACUGCGCUUGGUGGAGCCCCCUACUGGCCAGACUGGAUUUCUCAGCCUGCGACUCAGCCCCAGGCUACACGAAAGAAGCCAGACCUGGCUUUUACUGCCUCCUGAGGCCUUCGUCUUGUUCACACUGAGUGUCCAGUCCCUCCAAAUCCGGCUACACUCUACUGGCAAGGAGCACCUGGGCCAUGUUUUAGAGAUCAUCCGAGGACUAACCCCAAAAGUUUAUGAAGAGAAAGCAGAGGCCGAGCUGAAGAGAUGGACCCGGGUCACACCCAGGUAAAGGCAGGAUCUAAACUGAAACUGGUGUCAGAUCUGGUUGCCUUGCACCCCUGAUAUCAGGUGAAGCAACACUGGGCAGGAUAGAGCAGAGUGAGGUCAGAGUGUGAAGAUCCAGCCUGAUGCCCAAACUGACGCCUCUUCAUUCUCCCCUGCUCCAUCUGUAAACGUCACGGUUAAUCCAUCUACUUUAUUGCAUUAUAUAGAGAAAUAAAUGAAAUGUCAUAGCUGUAUGCGCUAUA
rnacentral:lncRNA from 1 species